UACGUAGGGGGCAAGCGUUGUCCGGAAUCAUUGGGCGUAAAGCGCGUGUAGGCGGCCCAGUAAGUCCGCUCUGAAAGCCCGGGGCUUAACCCCGGGAGGCGGGUGGAUACUGCUGGGCUCGAGUCCGGAAGAGGCGAGUGGAAUUCCUGGUGUAGCGGUGGAAUGCGCAGAUAUCAGGAGGAACACCGGUGGCGAAGGCGGGUCUCUGGGCCGAAACUGACGCUGAGGAGCGAAAGCGUGGGGAGCGAACAGG
rnacentral:rRNA from 1 species